rnacentral:lncRNA from 1 species
AUAUUUUCUAUGGUACCGGAACUCUGGUACUAUAGUGUUGUUUUCAAUCUUAGGGCGUUCAAAUCAACGAUCCACGCCGUUAAAUAUGAUCUAGGGUAUAUGAAAUUCUUAGGAAUAAAAUUUUAGUUUUUUUCGAUAUCGUUUACUUAGUAAAUAAAUUAUGUCAAAAUAGACGGUGGAAAUUGAAUAUUUUUUAAAAUUUGAGUAUAGGACUUUUAAAUUCAAGAUCAAGAAUGUUAACCUUAAUUUAUAUAGUUUAAAGUAUUUCAAUCAAAAUUUGAAGCAAUUUAGAUUCUUCUACACCAUUAAACUCCAAACUCGUCAUAAUAGCCAUUGAAAAUUGAGAAUUUUGAAAUAGUUUGAUCAUAAAGUAAACUAUGUCNGCCCGCCUGCGCCCGCGCUCACGCCCCUCGCUCCCGCCGCCACGUGUCGAGCCAGGAAACUUCAGGUUCCCAAUUCAUAAGUUUAUAAAUGUUAUAUGAUGACAACUUAGUCCUUCAGGUUUGUUUUGCAAUAAUCAUGUUCUUUGUUGAUCUCGACCAUUGCUAUCUUAAGGGGGCCAAUGCUAGUCUUACCUUACUCGCAAUUGAAAUUUUGAUGGUAAAAUUUAAAUCAAGGGCACACUUUAAGAUGAAAUUGUGAAAUUUAAGUAGAUUAGGCUUCAAGGAUUGGAUGGAAACUCGCAGAGCUGAUAUUAGAAUAAGGAUUAUGCCUUCGGAUUUAUAUUAGGAUGAGAUUAGGAUGAAGAGUAUGCCCUAGGAUUUACAUAAUUUAAAUUUUAAAUAAUAUAAAAUAUUGAAGUUUAAAAUUUAAAUUUAAAUUNUGCAAUAAUCAUGUUCUUUGUUGAUCUCGACCAUUGCUAUCUUAAGGGGGCCAAUGCUAGUCUUACCUUACUCGCAAUUGAAAUUUUGAUGGUAACUUAAAUCAAGGGCACACUUUAAGAUGAAAUUGUGAAAUUUAAGUAGAGAUUAGGCUUCAUGGAUUGGAUGAAAACUUACAAAGCUGAUAUUAGAAUAAGGAUUAUACCUCAGGAUUUACAUUAGGAUGAGAUUAGGAUGAAGAGUAUGCCCUAGGAUUUACAUAAUUUAAAUUUUAAAUAAUAUAAAAUAUUGAAGUUUAAAAUUUAAAUUUAAAUUUAAAAAUUAAAAAUUUUAAACUUAAAUUUAAAAUUUUAAAUGAUAACAACGGAAAUAUAGAAAUAUAUUUUUAUAUACUUUUAUCUAAAUUUUAGUAAAUAAUAAUGAACAGUCUAUUUAAAAUAUUUUAAAAAUUACAUAAAUUUAUCGCCGCGAAGCGUGGGCCUGCACAAGUGUAAAAAAUAGAAUGGUUCCGUAUAAGAGAGGUUAAUACUACAGACGUGGAAUAGGAUUUUGAAAGAAGAAAAGGGGGAGAGAGGAAGAAAGGAAUAGGUGGUAAAUUUGUUUUCAAAACAUUUUUUAAAAUUUUUGCAAAUGGAAAAUUCCUUUCUUUCACUCACGCGUUUUUACUCUCACCAUCUCUCCACUCGAUCUCUCACGCUUUUUUCCUCCCCCCAUCUACUCUCUCUCUCUCUCUCUCUCUCUCUCUCUCUCGCAGGGAGACGACGAGGACUAGGAGGUGAGGUCGCAGACCGCGAGCUCUCCCGCAGGGAAGACAACUAGGACUAGGUGAGGCGGUGGUCCGAAUUAAGUAGCUUAAGCAAUUUAGAAUUUUAAUUCAAUGUUAUCUUUUUGAUUUAAAACUGAUGUCAUAAUUUACCAUCAUAAUCCUCUAAAGUAUUCUUUUCGGCAGAAAAUGUAUGGAGACCUAAUUCUGACCUUCAUGCUAUUCUAAAUAUUUUUAUUUUCCACCUUUUCAGAUUUUAAACGAGGUAUAAAUAUGAUGAAAUUACGUUGUAUUAUUCAUAACCUGCUAAUUAAGUUAUAUUAGACAACUUUAAGCAUUUUAGAAUUUUAAUUCUGAACUGGUGUUAUUUUUUUAUGUCACGCCCCGGGGCCGAUUUUAAAAGCUUUUUAAAAACAGAGUUGCGGAAAACGUGCCAUUGUUUUUUUUUUUUUUUUUUUAUAUGCGAUAAAUAAAAUAAUAGUAAAAGAGUAUUUAGGAGUAUCAGAGCAUACAACAACUAGGUUCUAGCAUAGUGAGGUAAAUAANGUUACAUUUGGUAUCAGAGCUGGUUCACCAGCUGGACAUGUGUGGCGAGUCUCGGCUGAGCCAGAGUCUGGAUGACGGGAUAGCGAGACGAGUCUCACAUCGCUGGUGGUGAUCUUGGGCUGUGUGUGUGAUUGGACUGACGAGGACGUCAGGGCCUUAACGGGGGGAGUCUGUGACACCCCAAUAGUCCCACAUCGGAUGGGAAUGGGGUUGUCAUUCAGUUUAUAAGAGACUUAGACACUAGUAAUAAUUACUGGACUUAAGCAUUUUGGACCGGUUGUUGGGCCCAACGAGUUAUUGUUGCUAGUGGGUUGGGUCGUUACAACUCACCAUCCCAACACAAGUGUAACAGUAAAUUAGACUAUCUGGAGUACUCACCAUAAGAACACUGCAACUGUAUAAAAGUACAACGGCCCCUAAGGCUAAAUUAGGUCGUUUAACAUAUGACAGGUUCCAAGCACUGGUUUCUUCCUAUGUUUUAUCUAAGUCCAACAUGUAUGAUUAAUAACAGCUACUAACAUGCUCCCAAUUCAGUUAAUAUGUCUAAAACAUACCUACUCCUGAAUUUGAGCUAAACAAUAACAACUUGUAAUAUUAACGAUAUAUGUCGACCAACAAUACUAUAGGAGUAGGAUUCCGAUAAUAAACCCACCUCAAAAAGCUUGUCCAACCACGGCGAGAAGUCGAGAGGAGAGAAAAUCACGCGCUCACCCGGCCUCCAACGACGCAAUCGCGACGCACGCACACUCAAACGGCUCUCCGAAUCGACGUCGAAAAUUCCUGAACUCGAGCCCCGGCUUCUACCAAGCUACGAUUAAAAUUAGAGAAAAAGGGAAGUACGAGAUAAUUAAUCUCUCAGGUGGAUACUAUAUAGAGGGGGGGGUAGGUAGGUGGAUAACUACUAAUCAAAAUUACCUCCCUACCCCUCACUAACUCAAGCUAAGGGUAUUACAAGGCUACUAUAUUUUCUAUGGUACCGGAACUCUGGUACUAUAGUGUUGUUUUCAAUCUUAGGGCGUUCAAAUCAACGAUCCACGCCGUUAAAUAUGAUCUAGGGUAUAUGAAAUUCUUAGGAAUAAAAUUUUAGUUUUUUUCGAUAUCGUUUACUUAGUAAAUAAAUUAUGUCAAAAUAGACGGUGGAAAUUGAAUAUUUUUUAAAAUUUGAGUAUAGGACUUUUAAAUUCAAGAUCAAGAAUGUUAACCUUAAUUUAUAUAGUUUAAAGUAUUUCAAUCAAAAUUUGAAGCAAUUUAGAUUCUUCUACACCAUUAAACUCCAAACUCGUCAUAAUAGCCAUUGAAAAUUGAGAAUUUUGAAAUAGUUUGAUCAUAAAGUAAACUAUGUCGAAAAAAUAUAAAAUUUUAUUUCUAAAAAAACUUUAAAUACCCUAGAUCAGUUUUAACGGUGUGGAUCGUUGAUUUGAACGCCCGAAGAUCAAAAACAACACUAUAGUACCGGAGUUCCGG